AAAGGCUUAGUUGAGUUGAGUAUUACAAAGUAAACUUUACUUUGUAAUAAACAAUGUUAUACAAAUUUUUAAGAAAGAAAAUACCCUCUCUUCCUUUUCAUUUCCCAACUUAAAAAAAAAAAAAUUCCUCAUUUCUUUUUCUAAUUUACUAGACCUUGUACUUCAAUAUUUAGCCAAGGGCAAUAUGAAUUAUAUGAAGUGAUGGGAAGCUGAUGUACAGGUCUUCUAAACAAAA
rnacentral:misc_RNA from 1 species